CAGACCUCUAAUGGAAAAAAGGG
rnacentral:rRNA from 1 species